AUCCUGCUCAGUACUAGAGGAACCGCAGGUUCAGACCAUUUAGUCUAUGUGCUUGGCUGAGGAGCCAAUGGGGCAAAGCUACCAUCUG
rnacentral:ncRNA from 1 species